UGCCAGCAGCCGCGGUAAUACGGAGGGUGCAAGCAUUAAUCGGAUUUAUUGGGUGUAAAGAGCAUGUAGGCGGAUAAGUAAGUCAGAUGUGAAAUUUCGGAGCUCAACUUCGAAGCUGCAUUUGAAACUACUUAUCUUGAGGGUAGACGGAGAAAACGGAAUUCCAAGUGUAGCGGUGAAAUGCGUAGAUAUUUGGAAGAACACCGGUGGCGAAAGCGGUUUUCUAGUUUAUUCCUGACGCUGAGAUGCGAGAGCAAGGGGAGCAAACAGGAUUAGAUA
rnacentral:rRNA from 1 species